AAUUCUCAAUCCCCUCUAGCUGUUGCAGUUGGGACUUGGAUAGUGGAGGUAUUUGCAGGCCCUCGUUGAGGUGUCGGCUCCUCUGAAAUGCAUUAGCGGAACUGUUUGUGAUUCACUACAGAUGUGAUAAUUAUCUACAUCUAGUGGGUUACUCUCUGAAUGUUCAGCUGCUAACUGUCUUCUCUGUGAGACAACUUUUGAACCU
rnacentral:misc_RNA from 1 species